AGCUCUAUCCUAUAUUCCUAAACCAAUAGUUCCCUCAGCUACAUCCCAACCGCCCUCCAGUGAGACUUUCUCCCAAUUUCCCUCUGUCAUGACAAGAACAACAAAACCACAGGACGGGACACAGUCACAAUCAGCUGUGAUGUCCCACAAGUGGAGAUCUCACUGUGGAAGAGGAGGAGAAGGGUCUUCAGACUCACCUGGUUCCCAAGCAGAAGGAGAUAAGAGAAGUGGAUGAGACAGCAGGGGCUGGCGCUGCCUUUUCUACCUGCCCCUCACUGCUGCAGGACCAGGGGCAGCCUUUGCAGAGAUUUCUUCCAUGCUCAUGCCUCUGUGAAGGCUUCUUGUGAUUUUUGGGAUGAAAUGUUCCAGGAUUUCCAGGACAAUGGAGUCGUAAAUGUCGGGAGUAGACUCAGCUCCAGGGCUGGAUGGAUCCGGAGCAGGCAAGUGAUGUGUCAGUCUGGAUCACUCUGAUGGGCUUGUUUGAAGUGCUGCUUUCAAGAAGAAGUUGCAGCAAUCCUCCGUGGAUACCCAAGGACUCCUGGGCAUGAGGAUGGGCCAUGUCAUUCCCUUUCCCUCCCUCCUCAGCUCACCCCAACAGUCACUGGUUGUUGCCUCUCUACGUGUGUGCUUUGGGCGGCUGCUUUGACCCCGUCCUGCCUGACACUGCCCUCAGGAAAGCAUUCGGGCCUCUUCUGACUUCUGCCACACUGGUUAGUCUCUGAGCACACAAACAGUGCCACGGGCUUGCCUGGAGCCUUGUCCUUCCCAGCCCUGCGGUGUUGUCCCCAGGUGUCCUCAGCAGAGUCCAUGGUUGGUUGUUUUCCUACGUGGUUUCCUGGUUUGUGUGCACUUGUGUGCAGCUGGGUUCCACAGGAAUCCAUGUGGGAGCACAAAUUUGUGCAUGAGUCCACACCAAUGUGC